GACGUAGGGCGCGAGCGUUGUCCGGAUUUAUUGGGCGUAAAGAGCUCGUAGGCGGCUUGUCGCGUCGACUGUGAAAACCCGUGGCUCAACCAUGUGGUCUGCAGUCGAUACGGGCAGGCUAGAAUUCGGUAGGGGAGACUGGAAUUCCUGGUGUAGCGGUGAAAUGCGCAGAUAUCAGGAAGAACACCCGUGGCUAAGGCGGCUCUCUAGUACGGUACUGACGCUGAGACGCGAAAGCGUGGGGAGCGAACAGG
rnacentral:rRNA from 1 species